rnacentral:lncRNA from 1 species
CUGCCUACUACGCCGCCAGCCCUGCGAUCUAGCAGCCAGCCUGGCAGAUUACUUUUCUACAGCAUACCACCGGCAGCUCCGCGGGCAGCUGCACACUGGCUCAUACAUCACCGCCAUUGCACGCACGCUAGGGAUCGUGCCCGAGCAUGAUCCGCUGCUGUCCAAUCCGGUCCCAUCAUCCAGCUUGGGCCGCGCGUCAGUAUCUAGCAUGCAGAUCACCCGUACCUUUGAUGUCGGUCUAAGGUUCAGGGGUGCUGACGGGCUGAUUUGGCAGCCGAAGGUGUUGCCGGAGGUCAUCCCGGUUGUUAUUGAGGUGAGGCCUGGAGUGUUAGCCCCUCCUGAUGUUCAGCAGGCCGCUCGGCAGGCUCAGCUACAGGCUCUGGGCAUCGAUCAGCCUCAGGCUCAGGCUCAGCCUAUAUUCGAGGAUCCGGCGCAGGAGGAGCAGGUCGAGGAGAUCCCGCGUACCACCAGUUCAGCCAGCUCCUGAGCCGCCACAGUACCCGCAGCACGUUUACGCUGACCUGCCUCCGGCAGCGCGUGAGGUGGCUCGGGACUUCGACCGGCGCCUCAGACGUCAGGGCGCACGCAUUGACUGGAUCGUCCAGACGCUCGUUGAUCUACGAGAGUUCGC